AAAGUACGGCAAUAUCACGGUACAGCCAUUUGUGCGAAGGACCCCAGCGAAUGCAGUCCAUGUGGAGAGGAAGCGGCGGGGUCACGUGGCCGGCGUGUCGGGUAGCUGUCAGAAUUAGAGUUAUUGAAGGCGCCGGGGAGCAAUGGCAAGAGCCCAAUUCAGUUUUAUUUGGAACAGCAAAGUGUUUUAUCCUGUGGGACGCGAGGGGUUCCUCGCAAUGUCAUACGGAAUAUAUUCUGCAGGAUAUGUGGAUGCAGUUCUCCAAAUAAGUUUUUCAAAAGGGUUUAAAAUAGACGUUAUAUGUGCUAAGUUCUACAACUCUGGAGCUAUAGUAUACUGUACAAGCCAAUACUACGGAGACAGAUGCCAUAUGCCCAGUUUGAGCCUAGAUAAUUACUGUAACCCUAAUGCCUUUGGUCGGAAAGCUAUAUUUAUAGAGUCCCCUAUUCAAUGCUGGAUAGGCCGACGGACCAGACGUCAGUGGGCCAUCUACCCGCCCAACCAUUAGCCUUGGAUUUCUAUAUAUUGAUUAUUAACCAUACGGGGAAAGUGGGCAACGAGGGAAGUGUAGUAUGUAUAAAUAUGGGAGUAGGACCAUAAAAAAGCUGACUAAGGGGGAUAAUAAGGGGAAGCGUGGGAAUGUAAUGUAAGGCUUACUGGUGGGCCCUGGGAACCUAGUCUGAAGCCCCUAUUAUCAAAAACUGCGCAAUGCAAUAUUGUGUAUCUGCUUCUGUAAGAAGUUAUUGUUUGUAUUGCCCACUCCAUAAAUAAUAUCUCUGCUGUGUGUGACAUGUUUUUCUGAAACUGAAAUAUGUGUACUAUGCAGUGUUUCUUUUAAUAUAUUGUAAACUCUAAUGAGCAGGUCUCAACCUACUGUAUCAAUCGCAAUUUGUGUGUAAUCUGUAUGUUUUAUGUGCACACCCUCCGAAGGAAGAUGAUACCACUCAGGGUCUGGCUGGAGGGGUAAAGAUUCUGUAUUGACCAGUUUUCUUCACAUAUGAUAUUUAAAAGAGAAGGAAAGGUUAUGUUCCAGUGUCUGACUUCCUCUCUCAGAAACAGCCUGAAUUCCAGGGGCCAGAGUCUGCGCAGUUCUCUCCCCUCUCCAGCUCCCCCCUCCCACCAGAAUGCUAAGAACUCCCUCCCCCCUCCCUUUGGAAUGUAUGAUCUCAGCUAUAACGGCUAAAGACUGCAGGAAGGAAGCUGCUUAAAAUGGCAGCUGUUAUCUUAAGCAAACAGAGAAAGCUUCUAAAGCUGUUUACUCAGGUAUGUAAAUGGUUUCUGCAGAAUAAAUAUAUUGUACUAGGUGGCACUAAUGUGGCAAAUCUAUUGGCAGUAAAAUGCCAAAAUGAUUCUCCUUGUCCUUUACUAAUUGCAUAUUACCAAAUGGAUAGGCUGCAAUGCCACAGCUGAUACAACGUGAUUCAACAUGACAUGGCUAUUUUUAUUACAGUCAAUAAAGUUCUGCAAUGCGGGAUCUCUAAUGUUUUAUUCACUGCCUGAGGCAGCAGACUUGAUGCACUUUUUUCUAUGCAGCCACAUAAACUUAUCAAAUUAAUUACUGAUCAGCACUACUGUAUAUGGAUUUGCUGUGUUGUGGUAGUUUUUUUGUCAAUAAAAACAUUCUAAUGCAAACUG